rnacentral:rRNA from 1 species
AUGGCGGAGAAGACGGUGGUCCUCUACCCCUCACUAGGCGUCGGCCAUUUGAACCCCAUGGUGCAGGUGGCCAAGGCCUUCCUCCGCCGCGGCGUGGCCGUCACCAUCGCCGUCGUCGACCCGCCGGGGAAGGACCCCGUGCUGGAAGCCGCGGUCACCCGCCUCGCCAGCGCUUCCCCCUCCAUAGCAGUCCACCUCCUGCCCAUCCAGCCUGCGAGCACCAAUGAGCAGUACUCCAACACAGCUUUGCGCAUGCUCGACGAGCUCCGCCUCGCAAGCCCUGUGCUCCGGGAGUUCCUCACCUCACUCCCUGCCGUCGACGCCAUCGUGCUCGACAUGUUCUGCAUCGACGUGCUCGACGUCGCCGCGGAGCUCGCCGUCCCCGCGUACAUGUUCUACGCGUCCGCCGCAGCCGACCUCGCGAUCUACCUCCAGGUUCCUGAUGUCUGCCGCGCGGCGCCUUUCUCGUUCAAGGAUAUGGGAGACACGACGCUGCCCUUCUCCGGCGUGCCGCCGGUUCGCGCUCUGGACAUGCCGGACACCAUGGCAGACCGGGAGAGCGACCUGUGCAAGAGACGAGUGCAUCAGCUCGCGCGGAUGCCGGAAGCGAGAGGCAUUCUGGUGAACAGCUUCGAGUGGCUGGAGUCCAGGGCCGUCAAAGCGCUCCGGGAUGGCCUCUGCGUGUCCGGCGGCCGCUCCACGCCGCAUAUAUACUGCAUCGGGCCACUGGUCGACGGCGGCGUGAGCGGUGAAAGCGGCGAGAGGCACGAUUGCCUCGAGUGGCUGGACAGGCAGCCAAAGCAGAGCGUGGUGUUCCUCUGCUUCGGCAGCGGGGGUGUUUUCUCGGCGGCUCAGCUGAAAGAGAUGGCCGGCGGGCUAGAGAACUCCGGGCACAGGUUCCUGUGGGCCGUGCGUAGCCCACGCGAGGAGCAGAGCAAGUCCGGCGAGCCGGAGUUGGAGGCGUUGCUUCCUGAUGGUUUCUUGCAGAGAACCGGAGACAGGGGCUUGGUUCUGAAGAACUGGGCGCCACAGGCGGAGGUGCUGCGGCACGAGGCAGUGGGAGCGUUCGUGACGCACUGCGGGUGGAACUCGGCGCUGGAGGCGGUCAUGUCCGGCGUGCCGAUGAUCUGCUGGCCGCUGUACGCGGAGCAGAGGCUGAAUAAGAUACACCUGGUGGAGGAGAUGAAGAUUGGGGUGGCGAUGGAGGGCUACGAGGAGUCGUCCCUGAAGGCCGAGGAGGUGCAAGCCAAGGUGAGGCUGGUAAUGGAGUCCGAGGAAGGGCAAAAGCUUCGAGAGAGGGCGGCCAUGGCGAAAGAGAUGGCUGCAGACGCCGUCAAGGAAGGUGGGUCUUCCGACGUGGCAUUUUACGCCUUCUUGAAGCAUGUGGAAGAUGAACAAUCUCGAGGAGCGCCAAAUCCGGCCAUUAAGUGA